rnacentral:rRNA from 1 species
GACGAACGCUGGCGGCGUGCUUAACACAUGCAAGUCGAACGGAAAGACCCUGCUCUUGUGGGGUUCUCGAGUGGCGAGCGGGUGAGUAAAACGUGAGUAACCUGCCCUUGUCUUUGGGAUAACUUCAGGGAACUGGGGCUAAUACCGGAGAUGAUCUCUUGCUGCGUGUGGGGGGUUGGAGAGUUUCGGCGUUUGUGGAUGGAUUGGCGGGUUAUCCGCUGGUUGGGCGGGUAGUGGCUUACCAAGGCUUUGACGGGUAGCCGGCCUGGGAGGGUUACCGGCCACAUUGGGACUGAGAGAGGGCGCAGACUCCUACGGGAGGCAGCAGUGGGGAAUAUUGCACAAUGGCCGGAAGCCUGAUGCAGCAACGCCGCGUGCGGGAUGACGGCCUUCGGGUUGUAAACCGCUUUCGACUGUGACGAGGCGUGAGUGACGGUAACGGGUAAAGAAGCACCGGCUAACUACGUG